rnacentral:rRNA from 1 species
AGGAUGAACGCUGGCGGCGUGCCUAACACAUGCAAGUCGAACGCGCUCCAUUCGGUAGCAAUACUGAUGAAGAGUGAGUGGCGAACGGGUGAGUAACACAUGAGCAACCUGCCCCGAAGACCGGGACAACACCGGGAAACCGGUGCUAAUACCGGAUAUCCCUAUCGGACCGCAUGAUCUGAUAAGGAAAUGGAUUCCGCUUCGGGAGGGGCUCGUGGCCUAUCAGCUAGUUGGUGAGGUAAUAGCUCACCAAGGCAUCGACGGGUAGCUGGUCUGAGAGGACGAUCAGCCACACUGGGACUGAGACACGGCCCAGACUCCUACGGGAGGCAGCAGUGGGGAAUCUUGCGCAAUGGGCGAAAGCCUGACGCAGCAACGCCGCGUGGAGGACGAAUGCUUUCUGAGUUGUAAACUCCUUUCAGCAGGGACGAUUGUGACGGUACCUGCAGAAGAGCACCGGCCAACUACGUG